GGAUGAACGCUGGCGGCGUGCUUAACACAUGCAAGUCGAACGGACCCAUAUUGAAACCUAGUGAUAUAUGGGUUAGUGGCGGACGGGUGAGUAACGCGUGGGUAACCUGCCUUACACAGGGGGAUAACACUUAGAAAUAGGUGCUAAAACCGCAUAAGCGCACAGCUUCGCAUGAAGCGGUGUGAAAAACUCCGGUGGUGUAAGAUGGACCCGCGUCUGAUUAGCUUGUUGGCGGGGUAACGGCCCACCAAGGCGACGAUCAGUAGCCGGCCUGAGAGGGCGGACGGCCACAUUGGGACUGAGACACGGCCCAGACUCCUACGGGAGGCAGCAGUGGGGAAUAUUGCACAAUGGGGGAAACCCUGAUGCAGCGACGCCGCGUGAGUGAAGAAGUAAUUCGUUACGUAAAGCUCUAUCAGCAGGGAAGAAAAUGACGGUACCUGAGUAAGAAGCCCCGGCUAACUACGUGCCAGCAGCCGCGGUAAUACGUAGGGGGCAAGCGUUAUCCGGAUUUACUG
rnacentral:rRNA from 1 species